rnacentral:rRNA from 1 species
GAGGAACGCUGGCGGCGUGCCUAAUACAUGCAAGUCGAGCGAACGGACGAGAAGCUUGCUUCUCUGAUGUUAGCGGCGGACGGGUGAGUAACACGUGGAUAACCUACCUAUAAGACUGGGAUAACUUCGGGAAACCGGAGCUAAUACCGGAUAAUAUUUUGAACCGCAUGGUUCAAAAGUGAAAGACGGUCUUGCUGUCACUUAUAGAUGGACCCGCGCUGCAUUAGCUAGUUGGUAAGGUCACGGCCUACCAAGGCAACGAUGCAUAGCCGAUCUGAGUGGGUGGUCGGCUACACUGUAACUGAGACACGGGUCCGACUCCUACUCGGGUCCGCAGAGUUGAAUCUUCGCCGAUGGGCGAAUUCUUGACGGAGCAACGUCGCGUGCGUGAUGAAGGUCCUCGGAGCGUAAAACUCUGUUACUAGAGAAGAACAUAUGUGUACGUUACUGUGCACAUCUUGACGGUCCCUAAUCAGAAAUGAACGGCUAACUACGUG